AUCUGGGUGGCUCAGUCGGUUAAGUGCCUGACUUCGGCUCAGGUCACGAUCUCACUGUGAGUUCGAGCCCCACAUCAGGUU
rnacentral:tRNA from 1 species